rnacentral:rRNA from 1 species
UCCACGCCGUAAACGAUGAUCACUAGUUGUUGGCGAUAAAAUGUCAGUGACUGAGCGAAAGCAUUAAGUGAUCCACCUGGGGAGUACGUUCGCAAGAAUGAAACUCAAAGGAAUAGACGGGGACCCGCACAAGUGGUGGAGCAUGUGGUUUAAUUCGAAGAUACGCGAAGAACCUUACCUAGCCUUGACAUUGAAGAAACACACUAGAGAUAGAGUGGUGCCCUUCGGGGAAU